GACGUAGGGCGCAAGCGUUGUCCGGAUUUAUUGGGCGUAAAGAGCUCGUAGGCGGCUUGCCACGUCUGCCGUGAAAACCAGCAGCUUAACUGUUGGCUUGCGGUUGAUACGGGUUGGCUGGAGUUCGGUAGGGGAGACUGGAAUUCCUGGUGUAGCGGUGAAAUGCGCAGAUAUCGGGAGGAACACCAGUGGCGAAGGCGGUUACCUGGAGCUUUGCUGACGCUGAUGCGCGAAAGCGUGGGGAGCGAGCCGG
rnacentral:rRNA from 1 species